rnacentral:rRNA from 1 species
GUCGAGAAUCUUUCACAAUGGGGGCAACCCUGAUGGAGCGACGCCGCGUGGAGGAUAAGGUCUUCGGAUUGUAAACUCCUGUCAUGCGUGAACAAGGUUGCUUGGUUAAUACCUGGGCAAAUUGAUGGUAACGCAAGAGGAAGAGACGGCUAACUCUGUGCCAGCAGCCGCGGUAAUACAGAGGUCUCAAGCGUUGUUCGGAAUCACUGGGCGUAAAGGGUGCGUAGGUGGCGUGGUAAGUCAGAUGUGAAAGCCCGGGGCUCAACCUCGGAACUGCAUCUGAUACUGCCAUGCUAGAGUACUGGGGAGGUGACUAGAAUUCUCGGUGUAGCAGUGAAAUGCGUAGAUAUCGAGAGGAAUACCAAAGGCGUAGGCAGGUCACUGGACAGUUACUGACACUGAGGCACGAAGGCCAGGGGAGCGAACGGGAUUAGAAACCCCGGUAGUCC